rnacentral:lncRNA from 1 species
GAAAUUUAUUGUUGCCGCGUUGGAUACUUGGAUGUGUGCAAGUACAAGAGGCAUUAUACUAUCGUGGAGUGUAGAAGUACCAGUGCGGCGACGUCACCGGCAUCCGACCCCGUGGGCUGUUAGUUUUGGCGACUGGUGACCUUGGAUGUGGUGUGGGCGAGUCAACUCUCUCUACCUGGAUACUAAGCCUACACGAAAUGAAAAAAAAA